GAUCAUGGCUCAGGACGAACGCUGGCGGCGUGCUUAACACAUGCAAGUCUAACGAGAAUCUACUGAAAGAGUUUUCGGACAAUGGAAGUAUAGGAAAGUGGCGGACGGGUGAGUAACGCGUGAGGAACCUGCCUUGGAGAGGGGGACAACAGUUGGAAACGACUGCUAAUACCGCAUGACGCAUAGAGGUCGCAUGAUCUUUAUGCCAAAGAUUUAUCGCUUCAAGAUGGCCUCGCG
rnacentral:rRNA from 1 species